ACGCUCGACACCUACGGGAGGUAGCAGUCGGGAAUAUUGCGCAAUGGAGGAAACUCUGACGCAGUGACGCCGCGUAUGGGAAGAAGGUUUUCGGAUUGUAAACCAUUUUAGACAAGGAAGAAAGAAGACAGUACUUGUAGAAUAAGCUCCGGCUAACUACGUGCAAGCAGCCGCGGUAAUCUGAGCGGGCUGGCAAGGC
rnacentral:rRNA from 1 species